rnacentral:rRNA from 1 species
UACGGGGGGGGCAAGCGUUGUUCGGAAUUACUGGGCGUAAAGGGCUCGUAGGUGGCCAACUAAGUCAGACGUGAAAUCCCUCAGCUUAACUGGGGAACUGCGUCUGAUACUGGAUGGCUUGAGAUUGGGAGAGGGAUGCGGAAUUCCAGGUGUAGCGGUGAAAUGCGUAGAUAUCUGGAGGAACACCGGUGGCGAAGGCGGCUUCCUGGACCGACACUGACGCUGAGGCGCGAAAGCUAGGGGAGCAAACGGG